AAAUGAAAAGUAAUAAAUUACACUCAGUUUCGACCUGAAAAUUGACAAUAAAAUUGUCUUCAUUUA
rnacentral:tRNA from 1 species